AAGGCGGCGUUGCCCAGGCAUAAUCCUACCCCCACUGGCUGAGAAAGGGAAAGCGCUGGCUGUGGGCGGGUGCUUCUUGUCCAGCUUGGGGAGACUUUUCCCGCGCCACAAGAGGGAAAGACAGCCAGGAGCCUAGAGUGCGGCCCGACCCAUCCCGUGCCUACAGCUUCGCUUUCACUAUUGUUCAACCUGGACUAUAACAACGGCCUGCACUGGUUCUGAACUGCCCAAUAUUUCAAUCUGUGUCUGUGUCACCCAUUGGCAGAAUGGAGCUAAUUCGCCCACUGUG